rnacentral:rRNA from 1 species
CACGAAGGGGGCUAGCGUUGCUCGGAAUUACUGGGCGUAAAGAGCUCGUAGGUGGUUUGUCGCGUUGUUCGUGAAAUCUCACGGCUUAACUGUGAGCGUGCGGGCGAUACGGGCAGACUAGAGUACUGCAGGGGAGACUGGAAUUCCUGGUGUAGCGGUGGAAUGCGCAGAUAUCAGGAGGAACACCGGUGGCGAAGGCGGGUCUCUGGGCAGUAACUGACGCUGAGGAGCGAAAGCGUGGGGAGCGAACAGG